rnacentral:rRNA from 1 species
AUUGAACGCUGGCGGCAGGCCUAACACAUGCCAGUCGAACGGUAACAGGAAGAAGCUUGCUUCUUUGCUGACGAGUGGCGGACGGGUGAGUAAUGUCUGGGAAACUGCCUGAUGGAGGGGGAUAACUACUGGAAACGGUAGCUAAUACCGCAUAACGUCGCAAGACCAAAGAGGGGUACCUUCGGGCCUCUUGCCAUCGGAUGUGCCCAGAUGGGAUUAGCUAGUAGGUGGGGUAACGGCUCACCUAGGCGACGAUCCCUAGCUGGUCUGAGAGGAUGACCAGCCACACUGGAACUGAGACACGGUCCAGACUCCUACGGGAGGCAGCAGUGGGGAAUAUUGCACAAUGGGCGCAAGCCUGAUGCAGCCAUGCCGCGUGUAUGAAGAAGGCCUUCGGGUUGUAAAGUACUUUCAGCGGGGAGGAAGGGAGUAAAGUUAAUACCUUUGCUCAUUGACGUUACCCGCAGAAGAAGCACCGGCUAACUCCGUG